AUUUAUAUAUUAUAAAUAGUAUAAUUAACUUCCAAUUAAUAGGUUCAAAUAUUUGAUAUAAAUA
rnacentral:tRNA from 1 species